UCUCUAGCAGUCCAGUGGUUAAGACUCAGCACUUUCAUUGCUGGGGCCUGGGUUCAAUCCCUGGUUAGAAAG
rfam:TPA: Bos taurus chromosome 3, whole genome shotgun sequence.